ACGCUGGCGGCGUGCCUAAUACAUGCAAGUAGAACGCUGAAGAGAGGAGCUUGCUCUUCUUGGAUGAGUUGCGAACGGGUGAGUAACGCGUAGGUAACCUGCCUUGUAGCGGGGGAUAACUAUUGGAAACGAUAGCUAAUACCGCAUAACAAUGGAUGACACAUGUCAUUUAUUUGAAAGGGGCAAUUGCUCCACUACAAGAUGGACCUGCGUUGUAUUAGCUAGUAGGUGAGGUAACGGCUCACCUAGGCGACGACACAUAGCCGACCUGAGAGGGUGAUCGGCCACACUGGGACUGAGACACGGCCCAGACUCCUACGGGAGGCAGCAGUAGGGAAUCUUCGGCAAUGGGGGCAACCCUGACCGAGCAACGCCGCGUGAGUGAAGAAGGUUUUCGGAUCGUAAAGCUCUGUUGUAAGUCAAGAACGAGUGUGAGAGUGGAAAGUUCACACUGUGACGGUAGCUUACCAGAAAGGGACGGCUAACUACGUGCCAGCAGCCGCGGUAAUACGUAGGUCCCGAGCGUUGUCCGGAUUUAUUGGGCGUAAAGCGAGCGCAGGCGGUUUGAUAAGUCUGAAGUUAAAGGCUGUGGCUCAACCAUAGUUCGCUUUGGAAACUGUCAAACUUGAGUGCAGAAGGGGAGAGUGGAAUUCCAUGUGUAGCGGUGAAAUGCGUAGAUAUAUGGAGGAACACCGGUGGCGAAAGCGGCUCUCUGGUCUGUAACUGACGCUGAGGCUCGAAAGCGUGGGGAGCGAACAGGAUUAGAUACCCUGGUAGUCCACGCCGUAAACGAUGAGUGCUAGGUGUUGGAUCCUUUCCGGGAUUCAGUGCCGCAGCUAACGCAUUAAGCACUCCGCCUGGGGAGUACGACCGCAAGGUUGAAACUCAAAGGAAUUGACGGGGGCCCGCACAA
rnacentral:rRNA from 1 species